UAACGGCGAGUGAAGCGGCAACAGCCCAGAUUUGAAAUCUGGCCUUCUGGCCCGAGUUGUAAUCUGUAGAUGAGUCUUUGGGUUACGUGCCGUCCAAGUCCCCUGGAAUGGGGCGCCAUAGAGGGUGAGAGCCCCGUACCGACGUGCGCCGCGCCUGUUUAAAGCUCAUUCGAAGAGUCGAGUAGUUUGGAAAUGCUGCUCUAAUUGUGGGGUAAAUCUCCCAUAAGGCUAAAUAUUGGCCAGAGACCGAUAGCGCACAAGUAGCGUGAGCGAAAGAUGAAAAGAGCCUUGAAUAAGGGCGUCAAAAAGUAUGUGAAAUUGUUAUGGGGGAAGCGCUUAGUGCCAGACGUGGUGGCGGUUGGUUACCCGGUGUUCCUCACCGGCGCACUCUUCCGUCGCCAGGCCAGCAUCGGUUCGGCUUGGGGCUCAAUGCUGCAGGGAACGUGGCUCUUCGGAGUGUUAUAGCCUUGUAGCGACGUCCCGGACCGGACCGAGGUUCGCGCAUCUGCUCGGAUGCUGGCGUAAUGGCCCUCAGCGACCCGUCUUGAAACACGGACCAAGGAGUUGACCUAGCACGCGAGUGUUUGGGUGUCAAGCCCUCACGCGCAGUGAAAGCGAACGCAGGUGGGAGCCUCGGCGCACCAUCGACCGAUCCUGAAGUUUACGGAUGGAUUUGAGUAGGAGCGUGUUGGGUCUGACCCGAAAGAAGGUGAACUAUGCAUGAAUAGGGUGAAGCCAGAGGAAACUCUGGUGGAGGCUCGCAGCGGUUCUGACGUGCAAAUCGAUCGUCAAAUUUGUGCAUGGGGGCGAAAGACCAUCGAACUUC
rnacentral:rRNA from 1 species